rnacentral:tRNA from 1 species
GGGCCUGUAACUCAGUGGUUAGAGUGCUGUCCUUAUAAGACAGAAGUCCUUGGUUCAAAUCCAAGCAGGCCCA